CCACUCUCGACUCGAGGAGGUAGUGAAGAGAAAUAACGUGACGCUAACCCCAAGAGGCUGCGUUGGGGAAUGAGACCCGUUUAAAGCCUUGUCUGAUGACCCAGUAGAGGGCAAGUCUGGUGCCAGCAGCCGCGGUAAUUCCAGCUCUAUAAGCAUAUGCGGGAGUUGCUGCAGUUAAAAAGCUCGUAGUUGGAGGUCGACUGGGCGGCGGUGGGUGCGGGUCAGAGCUAUCCGUCUAUCCCCGUCGCUGGUCUGGGGCCCAGGCGGGUGAAUCCCCUUGGAUGGGCGUGCGCCCGUUGGCCCACAUUACUUUGAAAAAAUUAGGGUGUUUCAGGCAGGCUGAAUAUGGGCUUGGAUAGUCUAACAUGGAAUAACAGUUAAUUGAACUCCGGUUCCCUUCUCUGCUGGUCUACGGAACUUGCGAGCCAUGGCUAAGAGGGACAGACGGGGGCGGAAGUACUACGGCGUGAGAGGUGANAUUCCAGGNCCGCCGUAAGACUAACGAACGCGAAAGCAUUCGCCCAGAAUGUUUUCAUUAGUCAAGAACGAAAGUUGGUGUAGCGAAGAGGAUCAGAUACCCUCCUAGUACUGACCGUAAACGAUGCCAACAGGAGGCCGGCGGAAGUAACUUGCAUUGUGGGACUUGGCACCGUCGGAACCCCGCGGGAAACCCGAGUGUUUGGGUUCUGGGGGUAGUAUGGUUGCAAAGCUGAAACUUAAAGGUAUUGACGGAAGGGCACCACAAGGAGUGGAGCUUGCGGCUUAAUUUGACUCAACGCGGGGCAACUCACCCGGUCCGGACACCGCGGGGAUUGACAGAUUGAUAGCUCUUUUCUUGAUUCGGUGGGUGGUGGUGCAUGGCCGUUCUUAGUACGUGGUGCAAACUGUCAGGUUAAAUCCGCUAACGUACGCGACUCUAGCCUAUUUACUAGAGCUGGACGAUGAUAAUAAGUCGCCGAUGCGAGGAACUUCUUAGGGGGAUCCAUUGCGUGGGAGAAGCGGAUGAAAUAGAGCAAUAACAGGUCUGUGAUGCCCUUAGAUGUUCGGGGCCGCACGCGCGCUACACUGAAAAGGAAAGAGGGUGUCCAUGAAUGAGCCGGGCGCGCGAGCCGCCUUAGAGAAAUCUUAGAAACCUUAUCGUGCUAGGGAUUAGGGUUUGGAACUGUUGCCUAUCAACGAGGAAUUCCAAGUAAGUGCGAGUGACUAGCUUGCGUUGAUCAAGUCCCUGCCCUUUGUACACACCGCCCGUCGCUACCACUGAGCUAGCGGCUUAGCAAGGGCGUCGAGACGCGUCCUGGGGGCUUUUGGCGUGUACGGUGUGUCGGCUUCGGUCGGCCGCCGGCCACUUUUCCGGCCUCAGGUGGGCGUGAAAGGCGUUCAAACU
rnacentral:rRNA from 1 species